rnacentral:rRNA from 1 species
UACGUAGGGGGCUAGCGUUGUCCGGAAUCAUUGGGCGUAAAGAGCUUGUAGGCGGUUUGUCGCGUCUGCUGUGAAAUUUCGGGGCUCAACCCCGAACUUGCAAUGGGUACGGGCAGACUAGAGUGUGGUAGGGGAGACUGGAAUUCCUGGUGUAGCGGUGAAAUGCGCAGAUAUCAGGAAGAACACCCGUGGCGAAAGCGGCUCUCUGGAACGGUACUGACGCUGAGACGCGAAAGCGUGGGGAGCAAACAGG